rnacentral:rRNA from 1 species
GGACGAACGCUGGCGGCGUGCCUAAUACAUGCAAGUCGAACGGUCUUUCUAUGGAAGCUGCUCACUGAGAAGAUAGUGGCGAACGGGUGAGUAACACGUGGGUAACCUGCCCAUAAGAGGGGGAUAACAUCCGGAAACGGGUGCUAAUACCGCAUAGUUUUCUUGAUCGCAUGAUCGGGAAAGGAAAGACGGCCUUUGUGCUGUCGCUUAUGGAUGGACCCGCGGCGUAUUAGUUAGUUGGUGAGGUAACGGCUCACCAAGACGAUGAUACGUAGCCGACCUGAGAGGGUGAUCGGCCACAUUGGGACUGAGACACGGCCCAAACUCCUACGGGAGGCAGCAGUAGGGAAUCUUCCGCAAUGGACGAAAGUCUGACGGAGCAACGCCGCGUGAGUGAAAGAAGGUUUUCGGAUCGUAAAACUCUGUUGUCAGAGAAGAACAAGUUGGAGAGUAACUGCUCCAGCCUUGACGGUAUCUGACCAGAAAGCCACGGCUAACUACGUGCCAGCCGCCGC